AACGUACGCUGGCGGCACGCUUAACACAUGCAAGUCGAACGAAGUAGCAAUACUUAGUGGCAGACGGGUGAGUAACAUGUGGGUAUCUGCCCUUUGGCCUGGAAUAACACGAGGAAACUUGUGCUAAUACCGGAUAAGUCUUUACGGAGAAAGCUUUAUGCACCAUUGGAUGAGCCCGCACUUGAUUAGUUUGUUGGUGGGGUAAUGGCCUACCAAGACUGUGAUCAAUAGCUGAUUUGAGAGGAUGAUCAGCCACAUUGGAACUGAGACACGGCCCAAACUCCUACGGGAGGCAGCAGUGGGGAAUCUUGCACAAUGGAGGAAACUCUGAUGCAGCGAUGCCGCGUGAGUGAAGAAGGCCCUUGGGUUGUAAAGCUCUUUCGUCGGGGAAGAAAAUGACUGUACCCGAAUAAGAAGGCCCGGCUAACUUCGUGCCAGCAGCCGCGGUAAUACGAAGGGACCUAGCGUAGUUCGGAAUUACUGGGCUUAAAGAGUUCGUAGGUGGUUGAAAAAGUUAGUGGUGAAAUCCCAGAGCUUAACUCUGGAACUGCCAUUAAAACUUUUCAGCUAGAGUAUGAUAGAGGAAAGCAGAAUUUCUAGUGUAGAGGUGAAAUUCGUAGAUAUUAGAAAGAAUACCAAUUGCGAAGGCAGCUUUCUGGAUCAUUACUGACACUGAGGAACGAAAGCAUGGGUAGCGAAGAGGAUUAGAUACCCUCGUAGUCCAUGCCGUAAACGAUGUGUGUUAGACGUUGGAAAUUUAUUUUCAGUGUCGCAGCGAAAGCGAUAAACACACCGCCUGGGGAGUACGACCGCAAGGUUAAAACUCAAAUGAAUUGACGGGGACCCGCACAAGUAGUGGAGCAUGUGGUUUAAUUCGAAGAUACGCGCAGAACCUUACCAACACUUGACAUGUUCGUCGCGACUCUAAGAGAUUAGAGUUUUCGGUUCGGCCGGACGAAACACAGGUGCUGCAUGGCUGUCGUCAGCUCGUGUCGUGAGAUGUUGGGUUAAGUCCCGCAACGAGCGCAACCCUCACUUUUAGUUGCCAUCAUUAAGUUGGGCACUCUGAAAGAACUGCCAGUGAUAAGCUGGAGGAAGGUGGGGAUGACGUCAAGUCCUCAUGGCCCUUACGUGUUGGGCUACACACGUGCUACAAUGGUAUCUACAACAGGAAGCAAGACUGCGAGGUCAAGCAAAUCCUUAAAAGAUACCUCAGUUCGGAUUGCACUCUGCAACUCGAGUGCAUGAAGCUGGAAUUACUAGUAAUCGUGGAUCAGCGUGCCACGGUGAAUGCGUUCCCGGGUCU
rnacentral:rRNA from 1 species